rnacentral:rRNA from 1 species
UACAGAGGGUGCGAGCGUUAAUCGGAAUUACUGGGCGUAAAGCGUGCGUAGACGGCUAUCUAAGUCGGGUGUGAAAGCCCCGGGCUCAACCUGGGAAUUGCAUUCGAGACUGAAUAGCUAGGGUACGGUAGAGGGAAGUGGAAUUUCCGGUGUAGCGGUGAAAUGCGUAGAUAUCUGGAGGAACACCGGUGGCGAAGGCGGCAUCCUGGACCAACACUGACGCUGAGGAGCGAAAGCCAGGGGAGCAAACAGG